rnacentral:lncRNA from 1 species
AGCUUGCCUUCUUAUGUGACCAAAAAAACCCACUACUUACUGGGAUGCCACCCUCAGUGGUGUAUAAGGACCUCAUCAGGGAUCAAGGAAACAGCCCAAGAACAUGACCACAGGACAAAAAGUGGAGGUAAUUUCUCAGUGGUGUAUAAGGACCUCAUCAGGGAUCAAGGAAACAGCCCAAGAACAUGACCACAGGACAAAAAAGUGGAGG